rnacentral:rRNA from 1 species
UACAGAGGUCUCAAGCGUUGUUCGGAUUCAUUGGGCGUAAAGGGCGCGUAGGCGGCACUGUUAGUCAGGCGUGAAAUUCCUGGGCUCAACCUGGGGACUGCGCUUGAUACGGCAGAGCUAGAGGAUGGAAGAGGCUCGCGGAAUUCCCAGUGUAGAGGUGAAAUUCGUAGAUAUUGGGAAGAACACCGGUGGCGAAGGCGGCGAGCUGGUCCAUUACUGACGCUGAGGCGCGACAGCGUGGGGAGCAAACAGG